CCUACGGGAGGCAGCAGUGGGGAAUAUUGGGCAAUGGAGGAAACUCUGACCCAGCAAUGCCGCGUGAAUGAAGAAUGUCUUCGGAUUGUAAAGUUCUUUAGUCCAGGAAGAAUAAAAUGACGGUACCUGAAGAAUAAGCUCCGGCUGAAAACGUGCCAGCGGCCGCGGUAAUACGUAGGGAGCAAGCGUUGUUCGGAAUGCCUGGGCGUAAAGGGUGCGUAGGCGGUUAUAGAAGUUAGAAGUGAAAUACCGAGGGCUUAACUCGGGUGCUGCUUCUAAAACUGUCAGACUUGAGUGCAGUAGAGGUUAGUGGAAUUCCUAGUGUAGCGGUGGAAUGCGUAGAUAUUAGGAGGAACACCAGAUGCGAAGGCGGCUAACCGGACUGCAACUGACGCUGAGGCACGAAAGUGUGGGGAGCAAACAGGAUUAGAUACCCGAGUAGUC
rnacentral:rRNA from 1 species